rnacentral:rRNA from 1 species
CCUACGGGAGGCAGCAGUAGGGAAUCUUUCACAAUGGGCGAAAGCCUGAUGGAGCAACGCCGCGUGCAGGAUGAAGGCCCUCGGGUUGUAAACUGCUUUUAUAAGCGAGAAAUAUGAUGGUAACUUAUGAAUAAGGAUCGUCUAACUACGUGCCAGCAGCCGCGGUCAUACGUAGGAUCCGAGCAUUAUCCGGAGUGACUGGGUGUAAAGAGUUGCGUAGGUGGCAUAAUAAGUAGCUAGUGAAAUCUGGUGGCUCAACCAUUCAGACUAUUAGCUAAACUGUUAAGCUCGAGACCGUUAGGGGUAACUGGAAUUUCUAGUGUAGGAGUGAAAUCCGUAGAUAUUAGAAGGAACACCGAUAGCGUAGGCAGGUUGCUGGGACGGUUCUGACACUAAGGCACGAAAGCGUAGGGAGCAAACGGGAUUAGAUACCCUGGUAGUC